GGGAGUUAAUGCCUCCCCGUGCAAGAGAGUUAUAUCACGCAGCACCAGUGCGAGGUCAGCAGUCUGGCUGGGGCUUGGACGUCGCUGCGUGUGCCAACAAGCACCCCGGGCAGCCCUUGAGAGGGUUCCAAAUCCAGGUUUCAUUCUGCAGCCUGGAGGAUGCUUUGACGAUCGCCUUGCGAAAGGAAACUAGAAGCUGCAUCGGUGAUUCCCAGACAAGCCACGGGUUAGAUCACGGAACUCCCCCAGCUGGGAGCCCACCGAUGCAGUGACAAAGGGAGCCCGGCUGAGACCCUGCUCAGGUGAGGAAAUUGAAGCCCAGAGAAGGAAAACAAUUUUCCAAGAUUGGCAGCAGCACAAAGACGUGAUUUCAGAAUCCUUUCUUUCUCUGAUGGAUCCUAAUCAAGGAAACAGGGAGAAGCAGGCAGUUUACUGGGGGUGCUCUCCCUGAGCGCCUCUGGUGGAGAAGAUGCUCUGAAGAAGGAAAGUGUGGACACCCCUCCACAUGCCAAGAUACAGCCGUGGGUGAAAAGAAAACCACAGCGCAGUUGUCGUGAUAAAAGCCCGCAGAGACUGCCUUGCACACCCCAGGCCAGCUGAACCGACGUCGUCCUGGCCACCCCAGGUCUCGCAAGCUGCUGUUCUUAGAGCAUCUUAUCCAAGUCCAAGGGCAGUGAGGUUAUUACAAGAUAUUAAGCAGAGUUCCCUGUGCUCUACAAUCGAAAACCAUGUGCACCACAUUUUCCCAGACCUGAUCUUAAUGUAGAUAAAAGUGAGAAACCUAGAGGGGAGCCUGCUGUUGAAGCCCUGCAUUGUAUGCUCUAAUUUAAUCAUCGUGUGCCGCAGGAUUUCUUUGCAUAAAUUACAACCACAAUGAUAGCAUCACUUUCACAAAAGGUGGUCUCCGGUCGAUUCAACUCUCCAAGUCAUGGCCGGGUUGUUCAAAGCAGAGAAAGGGAGCCUGCGGUCUUACAGAGCUGGAGAAUGCACCUGGGGCUCGUGGUGGAGGCCAAUAGGGCGACACCUCCCUGCUCUUUGCCUAUUCAGCUCAUUUUCCUUUUCAUUUCGACAUCUGCUAACUGCUUGGUUUUUAUUUUCCGGGAAUAAAGGGUUAUUGGCAAUGGGCACCACCCUGGUGUAUGAAGGAGGGGGUUUCUAGGAAGACCCCCAGAGUGGAGAAGUGAUGGAGGGAACCAUCCACCUAUGAUGCCUCCCCUGGCCUCCUUUUUCUCCUCCUUUCCAUCCCCCCAUCCGUUGGUCAAACACAAUUUUUAAAUUAUCUGCAUUUUCAAUGCUCUUGGGUCUUCAUCUGGAAAAGCACUGUCCCUGUGCUGCUCUGAACAGUCCCGCACCCAUGGCCUCCCUUUUCCCAGGCUUAAAAUUGUCUCCCUCAGAACCUUGGAAGCAUGUUUUGUAAGCCCCUCUACAGAAGGCAGGCGGCUAGCCAGCUGUGCUUGUCUGCAUCGAGGUGGUCCCAGAGAGCUCUGGACAAUUCUUUGAAAGAACAGGGGUGGGAAGAUUCUCAGGACACAGGCAGCUCAUGUCUGUCCUUGGAGAUUUAUGUCACAAAGGACAUCUAAAAUAAAGAUAAAAUUGAAUCUGUGGAAACUGCUCCUGUUUCCCAAUGGAUUGAGUCUAGAGGAAAUGGGAUUUUUUUUUCACAAUUUUCCCAACAGAGUGAUUCUUUUAGUGCCAAAACCCUCGAAAGAGAAUGAAGCUCACAUAUCACACCUAUGUGUGUGCAACAGCAGGAACGUGCAAUGGAAAA